rnacentral:rRNA from 1 species
AGUAGUUGAUCCGUGGCUCGAGGACGAACGCUGGCGGCGUGCCUAACACAUGCAAGUCGAGCGGGGACAUACGACGGAGUCAAAGUUUCGGAUGGAGACGAAGAUGUAUGUUCUAGCGGCGGACGGGUGAGUAACGCGUGAGCAACCUGUCCCUUACAGGGGGAUAACACAGCGAAAGUUGUACUAAUACCGCAUGAGACCACGGGUAGACAUCUACCAGGGGUCAAAGGAGCAAUCCGGUAAGGGGUGGGCUCGCGUCCGAUUAGAUAGUUGGUGAGGUAACGGCCCACCAAGUCGACGAUCGGUAGCCGACCUGAGAGGGUGAUCGGCCACAUUGGGACUGAGACACGGCCCAAACUCCUACGGGAGGCAGCAGUGGGGAAUAUUGGGCAAUGGGGGGAAACCCUGACCCAGCAACGCCGCGUGAGGGAAGAAGGUUUUCGGAUCGUAAACCUCUGUCCUUGGUGAAGAGGAAGAGACGGUAGCCAAGGAGGAAGCCCCGGCUAACUACGUGCCAGCCGCGGC